rnacentral:tRNA from 1 species
GCCCGGGUGGCUCAGUCGGUUGAGCGUCCGACUUCGGCUCAGGUCAUGAUCUCACGGUCUGUGGGUUCGAGCCCCGCGUCGGGCU